rnacentral:rRNA from 1 species
UACGGGGGGGGCAAGCGUUGUUCGGAAUCACUGGGCGUAAAGGGCGCGUAGGCGGGGAGGUAAGUCGGGUGUGAAAUCCCUCGGCCCAACCGAGGAACUGCGCCCGAGACUGCUUCUCUUGAGUCCCGGAGAGGAAGAUGGAAUUCCCGGUGUAGCGGUGAAAUGUGUAGAGAUCGGGAGGAACACCGGUGGCGAAGGCGGUCUUCUGGACGGUGACUGACGCUGAGGCGCGAAAGCGUGGGAGCAAACGGG